GGGGAUUUAGCUCAGUGGUUCCGGCGUCUGCCUCACAAGCAGAAGGACCGAGGUUAGAUUCCCGGAACCA
rnacentral:tRNA from 1 species